GGGUUCAUAGUGUAGCGGUUAUCAUAUUUGCUUUACAUGCAGAAGGUCCUGGGUUCGAGCCCCAGUGGAACCA
rnacentral:tRNA from 1 species